GCUGUAGUGGUGUAAGGGUUAUCAUCUAGGCUUCCCAUUGUCUUUACACACGCCUGCCUAGGAACCGAGUUCGAGUCUCGGCUACAGCA